rnacentral:snoRNA from 1 species
ACCGUGGGGUGCGGACAUAUAACCAACAUCCCUUUGAAUCGUUCCCAUGUUUCUUAUAGUGUCUCCAUUGAUUUCUGUUUGAAACUCAAGAUUUCAUCAAUUUGUU